rnacentral:tRNA from 1 species
UUCCCUGGGGUCCAGUGGUUAAGACUCUGUACUUCCACUGCAGGGAGCAUGGGUUCAACCCCCGAUUGGGGAA